UGUUAUUAUUAAUUAAGAUGUAGGUUAGGUUAUUGUUUUCAUCCAUUGUCAUCACAGGCUAUUAUGAAUAAACAUAUUCGUACAUCGUAAUGUAGCAGUAGAAAAUCCGAAAAGGGCAGUAUAAGCCCCAUGUCAUUGAUUAUAUACUUAUAUAAUCAAUGCCCAUGUUCACAAAUCGUAACCCAAGACAUUUCAAAUACCUACGAAUCACUCAUAAACGGGACGGCUACUACGGUGAUAAAACUGGGACGAUCCUACUGGCAUAAGUACACAAAUUUGGUUUCCUACCGCCUCCAAUAAGACAGUCCGAUCGUAUAUAACAACCGACACAAACAGGCCGUCACGUAACUGCAUUGUUAGUGCACCACAUCAACGGACCAACACUCACCGAGAGCAAGAAGGAAUGGGCCAUCAAAAUUAGGCUGUAUAAGACCAUGCACCAAGUCGUUCACGUACGUGAACGUCCCUGCAUUAAAUUUAUGUUUGCUACUUGUAGGUUUCAGUUCUUCGUACAAAGAUGCCUUGCAAGUGGUCGUGCCAUUGCAAACCCGAAUGCAACGGCAGUAAGAUCACAAAGUUUCUAACGUGCUACAAGAUUUCGGUUUGAAGUUGUCUGAGCCGGAGCAGUACAAGACGACAUUGCCAUAGACAAGAGAAAGAUUACCAAAACCGUGGGAUAUAAUCGAAUAAAAGCCGAUUUACAGUUACUCAAGUCACGUUGCGGUCAAUUAUUACAGUCUGUAUUUCUUAAGGCCAAUUCACUAUAACUAAGGUGCACUUUUUUAUUAUUGUGUAGUUUAUUAUUAUUUAAUGUUUAACAUAUUAGUAAGCAAUAAAAAGUUUACAUAUUUA